GCAGUUGUUCUGAAGUCUUGGAACGAGAACAGAACAACUUUGGAAGGAAAUGAUCACCAUCCCUCAUCAGCUGUGAGGCUGUUAAAGCUGGAAGAGGGUCUCGCUGAUCACCAGCAACAGAUUCCGGGUUCUAGGGGGUUCAAGGCUCAGAUCGGUGUCUGCUGGAGGGACAGCAUCCUGGGUUUCCCCAAUAGUGCUACCUAGAGCUGAAUAGGUAAAGGCAUUCUGUGCAUGGUGUUGAAGAAGGACAUACACCGUAUGAAAAGUAGACACCAGUUUCAGCAAACACAGUCCAGUACAAAGAUGGAUGCAUUCCUGGAGGACGAGGUUUCUU
rnacentral:lncRNA from 1 species